rnacentral:rRNA from 1 species
UAAUGUCUGGGAAACUGCCUGAUGGAGGGGGGUAACUACUGGAAACGGUAGCUAAUACCGCAUAACGUCGCAAGACCAAAGUGGGGGACCGUUCGGGCCUCAUGCCAUCAGAUGUGCCCAGAUGGGAUUAGCUAGUAGGUGGGGUAAUGGCUCACCUAGGCGACGAUCCCUAGCUGGUCUGAGAGGAUGACCAGCCACACUGGAACUGAGACACGGUCCAG